rnacentral:rRNA from 1 species
AACGAACGCUGGCGGCAUGCCUAACACAUGCCAGUCGAACGAGACCUUCGGGUCUAGUGGCGCACGGGUGCGUAACGCGUGGGAACCUGCCCUUAGGUUCGGAAUAACUCCCCGAAAGGGGUGCUAAUACCGGAUAAUGUCUUCGGACCAAAGAUUUAUCGCCUUUGGAUGGGCCCGCGUUGGAUUAGCUAGUUGGUAGGGUAAAAGCCUACCAAGGCGACGAUCCAUAGCUGGUCUGAGAGGAUGAUCAGCCACACUGGGACUGAGACACGGCCCAGACUCCUACGGGAGGCAGCAGUGGGGAAUAUUGGACAAUGGGCGAAAGCCUGAUCCAGCAAUGCCGCGUGAGUGAUGAAGGCCUUAGGGUUGUAAAGCUCUUUUACCCGGGAUUAUAAUGACAGUACCGGGAGAAUAAGCUCCGGCUAACUCCGUG